CAAACUUUUGGAUGUUCACCAAUUUUAUCUCAGUGAAAUUUUAAUUUGCCUUCUCUUAUUUUAAGUAAGGCAUCAAUAAGAGUUUGUUCAAAAAGGCAAAACCACUGGGAAACACAUGUAAUAAGCCAUGAUAUUACACAUUUGACCAUAUGCAACCGUGAGAGCUGGUUAAACAAUUUGUGUGUGGUUAUUGCUUCUGUGUGUGGUACUGGAGCCUAAAGUCCACAGGGCAGGCAGUUUAGAAGAAUAAAGAACAGGGAAUGUGGGAAGAAAUGACAAACAGGAACCUGUGAGAAUUAGCCAGAACCCAUGACACUGGACUGGAACCUGCUUUAGUCUCUUAACUUUUCUAAGCCUCUGAUGGUUGUGGUAGGGGACGGGGGUAGUAGGUGAGAGAAAGCGGCAGGGAAAUUGUUUCCCUUUGACAUGAAGCUAAAAUGCCUUUUGCUCAGGAGAAUGAGAAGUCAAAGGCAAAAAACCGGAAAGAGAGGGAGUUGCUGGAGCCUGGCUGAAGAUCCACCACUAGGUAAACCAACAGGAUCCUGUCUUCCCCUGGGUGCAACCAGUUCGUCAUCAAUCUAAGUAUGUUGGUGUGGUCCCCUGAGUCAACAGGAAGUGGCAAAUCCUUGCUGAGUGAGUUCCCUGAAUGGGGAGGAUAUCCUGAACAUGCUAUAACCUGAAAAAGCACAUGUUUAUCUUGCAGCAUAAAAGCCUUCUGUUGGUCAUACAAUGCUUGUUAAUCCAGGGCUCUCUGUAAGCCUGACUCAGUAAGUGGUAAAGAAAGAAAUGAAUUUACUAUCUCUAUUCCUGUAACUUAUGCUGACUGUGCACAUGCCUCAAUUGGAGGCUGGUUUUUGCUUUUUAAGGGGUAUGUUUCUAAGGAGACAUUUAUCUGUGUGUGUCAAAGAAUCAUUUGCCUUGGAUGACAUCACUGUCACAGCCCAAUCUGCUCAGUUCCUUAUUUAGAGGAGCCAAGUCUGAAAGGCCUGGCUUAGUAAGUUUCUACCUUCAAAAGUUGUGUGAAUCAGAGAGCCUCAGCACGCUGUUUUGAGUGGAGGGUCCAGGCACAACGUGUACCUGCAGACCCAGAAAUAAAAAUUGGGCCUGCAAAUGUACCCCUUCUGCAAAUGAGAUGCCAAUCUAUCCAGGGCACCUGGGAGAGAAAGAGCUUUCUGACCUUCCUCAAAACCUAAUACAAAUAUCUCAACUUUUUCAAAAUAGCUGUUUGCAUGCUGCUCUCCUGCUGGUUCAAUCUGGGGAGCUUAAGUAUCUGUGAUUGUCUCUGGGAAAUCUGCCUUUUAGGUAGCUGGCCUAAGAUACUCAUGGAUAUUCAGUAGUCCAAGGAAAUAAAACACUGUAGGAUAUGAAGCAUGUUAUUUUAAUUUUAAUGACAUUGCCAAAUAAAGUGAUUUCUACAUGUAAGUUCAUUGAAUUUCUGCACAUUAUCAAAUUGCUCCAACUCCUUGCAGUGAGGUCCUGAAAUAAACCCCUUAUGUAUAUGGGAAUUUAGUACACGAGAAUAGCAUGUUGCCUUAGAAGGAAAAAUAAUAGAUUAAUGUAAAUAUUUUGAGGCCAGUUAUCUGCCUGAAAAAAUAGAUCCCUACUCCACACCACACACAAAAAUAAUCUAGAUAAACUACAACCAAAUCUUAAAAAAUAAGUAAUCUA
rnacentral:lncRNA from 1 species